GACGAACGCUGGCGGCGUGCCUAAUACAUGCAAGUCGAACGCUUCUUUCCUCCCGAGUGCUUGCACUCAAUUGGAAAGAGGGGUGGCGGACGGGUGAUUAACACGUGGGUAACCUACCCAUCAGAGGGGGAUAACACUUGGAAACAGGUGCUAAUACCGCAUAACAGUUUAUGCCGCAUGGCAUAAGAGUGAAAGGCGCUUUCGGGUGUCGCUGAUGGAUGGAUCGGCGGUGCAUUAGCUAGUUGGUGAGGUAACGGCUCACCAAGGCCACGAUGCAUAGCCGACCUGAGAGGGUGAUAGGCCACACUGGGACUGAGACACGGCCCAGACUCCUACGGGAGGCAGCAGUAGGGAAUCUUCGGCAAUGGACGAAAGUCUGACCGAGCAACGCCGCGUGAGUGAAGAAGGUUUUCGGAUCGUAAAACUCUGUUGUUAGAGAAGAACAAGGACGUUAGUAGCUGAACGUCCCCUGACGGUAUCUAACCAGAAAGCCACGGCUAACUACGUG
rnacentral:rRNA from 1 species